GUUUAACCGAUUAACUAACAUGUUUAACUCCGCCACAUUAUUUAUGUAUGUGCCUGUCCGAAGUCAGGAGCCUGUAAUUCAGUUGUUGUCGUUUGUUUAUGUGUUACAUAUUUGUUUUUCGUUCAUUUUUUUUUAUAUAAAUAAGGCCGUUAGUUUUCUCGUUUGAAUUGUUUUACAUUGUCUUAUCGGGGCCUUUUAUAGCUGACUAUGUGGUAUGUGCUUUGCUCAUUGUUGAAGGCCGUACGGUGACCUAUAGUUGUAAAUGUCUGUGUUAUUUUUGGUCUCUUGUGGACAGUUGUCUCAUUGGCAAUCAUACCACAUCUUAUUUUUUAUCAUUCUAUUUGAAGUGAUGAUGCAAUGGCG
rnacentral:lncRNA from 1 species